rnacentral:lncRNA from 1 species
UGCUGCUAACCAUGAAAACAACUCAGUGACAUGACUUAUGACCCUGGCUGAGGACGCCCGGGCACAGCAAGGGCCCUGGCAGGGGCCUGGGCUCAGACUUGAAGGACAACAGACUGGUCAGGGGCGAAGGUGGCUGACCAGGAAACCUGACACCCUGGCGGGGCUCUGCCUGGCCACUGCUCUGGCCCUCUGCCCUCUGCCCUCCCGAAUCUUACCAGGAGAGGCGAGGGGGCGACAGAGGGAAGGAAUGGAAGCUGGUGGGACUGCACACUGUGGCCGGAACAGGAAAACCCUGCCUAUCUCCAGAGGUUUCUCCCUGCUCUCACCAACCAAUCCUUCAGCAGAUAUCUCUGACGUCAAAUGCCCCCACCAUGCUUCUGCCUGGACACACCUGCCAGGGGCAACAGAAUGACAGCCAUCUUCUAUAGGCUGCAGCGCAGGAUGCCUGGAGGUCAGAAGAGGACGAACCACAAACAUUCUGAGAUGUUGCCGGUUCCUGCAGCAUGUCCAGCAGGCCUGGGUCCAGCCCCAGCUGCUCUGAGUUCCUGUGCAAGCAGCAGAGCCACACCGCUCUCAGGAGGUGGGGACACAGAAAGCGGGGCUGUAGGAAGGACCCAGAGGAGUUGGAGGUCUCAGUGAACAGGAAGCACUGUUACCCCGGCCCCCCCCCAACAUCAUCACCCACACACCCAGCUCCCAGAGGGUGACCGUGUGCAGGUCCCACACAAAGACAGCUGGAGACACAUCGCUGUCUCUGUCUCUGGUGUGGAAGGAAGCCCUAGAUAAAGAGAACAGUGCACCCAUCUCAGAGUCUGGCCACUCAGAGCCUAGUCUACCAGUCCCAGGAAUGGGUGCCCUCUACCCUCCCACAGUCUGAAAGACGUUAGCUGUCUCACUCUUCUCCAUGCAAGGGCAGAAUCCUGCACUGAAGCCCCGCACUCCCUGGCAGAGCCCAGGACUCUCCUGAACCAUGCGGGGGGAGGGCACCAUUACCCACAGACCCUUCAUGGGUCCUCUCUAUGGGUGAAAGGCACAGAGGCCAGGACAGGACACAGAGCCAAGAACCUGGCACAGCAAAGGCUGGUGGUACCUUCCCCACGCCAGGUACCUUCCCACUGAUGGUAGCAGCCCUGUGAGCGUCUGUUGCAUAUUUAAAUAAGGGUGAAAAAUGCCAUUUGUCACUAAACAAGAGAAGCAGGCCAGCAGCACCUCCAAAGCAGCUGGCUUGGCUCAGGAGGGCGAUGCCAGCCUGGGGUUGGUUCUGCAUUCAGGGGGACAGGAGGGGAGCCUGGAGGACAAGGCUGCACCCCUGGGUGCCUAUGGUGGGGUUGGACUUGGGCUUCCUGCCACCAGUAGGCCUUGCUUGCUGCAGUCUCAGGAUCUUCACAUCAAUGGCUCUUCCAGCCUGGACUGACGUCCCUCACUUCGGUGUCCCUGCAGGCCUCUGCCUCACCUUGGGCACUCACAGCCCAGAUGGCUCCUGUCCCCAUCACUAUUCUGUCACUGCUGUGGUCUCUCCACAUGACCUUGUCUGAUUAUGUGGGACUGGAAAGAGCUCUGUCAGAAGUGGAAAGUCGACCCCCAUCCCAACAUCCUUAACAGAGUAGGCUCCCAACACACCUGUGUGAUGUCAUCUGUAAGUUGCUUUGACUCUUUUUAGCCCACUUCUCUCUUUGGUUCAUAGCUGUAAGGCCGUUACGCGGGGGAGGAAAACUGAGGCAGUGUGGAGGUCACCCCUCACCAGCCUCCAAUUCAAGGCACCUGCAUGAACAGCAUGAAUCUUACCUCAGGGUCACAGAGUUGAGCUGCAUGGCCAGAUGCCUGGACACAAAUCUAGGCUCUCCCUGGCUGAGGACCCUCUUGCAAGAAGGAGAGUAAGGCAGAGGGAUUGCCAGUUUGGGGCUAACCUGACCUUCAGAGUGAACCCUUGUCUCAAAAGCAAUCAGUUGGAGGCUGGGGAGAUAUCUCAGUGGGUAAAGUGCUCACCACACAAGCAUUAGGACUGAGUUCAAUCCCCACAGCUCACAUAAAAAGCCAGGGACCAUGGUGGACAUCUGUAAUCCCAGCACUGCAGAGGCAGACAGGAGGAUCCUGGGGCUCACUGGCCAGCGACUCUAUCAGUUCUGUGAGUUCCAGGUCAGUGAGAUCCUGACUCAAAAACUACAAUCUGGAGCAAUAGGGAGACACUCAGUGUCAACCUCUAGUCUCCACGUCUCUUCACACGCACGCCCACAUAUGCACCCCUCCCACAAACACAAAUAAGUGAAUGAUGUGGAGAUCUGGGAUGAAGACGCUGACGUCAACCUACACACACACGAGUACAUACAUAUGAUCAUGUUCACAUGUGCACAGCCUCACACACACAAGUUAACUAAUAAAAGUCAAUUUUAUUUUUAAUAAAGACA